GGCGGCCUACGGGGGGCAGCAGUGGGGAAUAUUGGGCAAUGGGCGCAAGCCUGACCCAGCAACGCCGCGUGAAGGAAGAAGGCUUUCGGGUUGUGAACUUCUUUUCUCAGGGACGAAUAGAUGACGGUACCUGAGGAAUAAGCCACGGCUAACUACGUGCCAGCAGCCGCGGUAAUACGUAGGUGGCAAGCGUUAUCCGGAUUUACUGGGUGUAAAGGGCGUGUAGGCGGGGACGCAAGCCAGAUGUGAAAACCGCGGGCUCAACCUGUGGCCUGCAUUUGAAACUGUGUUUCUUGAGUACUGGG
rnacentral:rRNA from 1 species